ACUACGGGAGGCUGCAGUGAGGAAUAUUGGUCAAUGGACGAGAGUCUGAACCAGCCACGUAGCGUGAAGGAUGACUGCCCUAUGGGUUGUAAACUUCUUUUAUAAAGGAAUAAAACGCGGCACGUGUGCCAUUUUGCAUGUACUUUAUGAAUACGGCUCGGCUAACUCCGUGCCAGCAGCCGCGGUAAUACGGAGGAUCCGAGAGUUAGCCGGAUUUAUUGGGUUUAAAGGGAGCGUAGAUGGGUUUUUAAGUCAGUUGUGACAGUUUGCGGCUCAACCGUAAAAUUGCAAUUGAUACUGUCAGUCUUGAGUACAGGUGAGGUAGGCGGAAUUCGUGGUGUAGCGGUGAAAUGCUUAGAUAUCACGAAGAACCCCGAUUGCGAAGGCAGCUUACUAAACUGUGACUGACAUUGAUGCUCGAAAGUGUGGGUAUCAAACAGGAUUAGAUACCCGGGUAGGC
rnacentral:rRNA from 1 species